AGAUGAUAUUGAAAGGGAAGAUGGGAGGGAGAAAUAACAAAAGUGAAAACAAAAACUAAAAACGGAAAUAUAUUUGAAAUUGUUUUCACUUUUGUUACUCCUCCCUCCCAUUCUCCCCUCUGAUCCCCUCUCU
rnacentral:miRNA from 1 species